GUCGCAAGACCAAAGAGGGGGACCUUCGGGCCUCUUGCCAUCAGAUGUGCCCAGAUGGGAUUAGCUAGUAGGUGGGGUAACGGCUCACCUAGGCGACGAUCCCUAGCUGGUCUGAGAGGAUGACCAGCCACACUGGAACUGAGACACGGUCCCCACUCCUACGGGAGGCAGCAGUGGGGAAUAUUGCACAAUGGGCGCAAGCCUGAUGCAGCCAUGCCGCGUGUAUGAAGAAGGCCUUCGGGUUGUAAAGUACUUUCAGCGGGGAGGAAGGUGUUGAGGUUAAUAACCUCAUCAAUUGACGUUACCCGCAAAAGAAGCACCGGCUAACUCCGUGCCAGCAGCCGCGGUAAUACGGAGGGUGCAAGCGUUAAUCGGAAUUACUGGGCGUAAAGCGCACGCAGGCGGUCUGUCAAGUCGGAUGUGAAAUCCCCGGGCUCAACCUGGGAACUGCAUUCGAAACUGGGACGCUAGAGUCUUGUAGAGGGGGGUAGAAUUCCAGGUGUAGCGGUGAAAUGCGUAGAGAUCUGGAGGAAUACCGGUGGCGAAAUCGGCCCCCUGGACAAAGACUGACGCUCACGUGCGAAAGCGUGUCGAUGACACAGGAUUAGAUACCCUGGUAGUCCACGCCUCUAAACGAUGUCGACUUUUCAGGGUGUGCCCUUGAGGUGUGGCCUCCCUCAGCUAAAGCUCUAAACUCGCA
rnacentral:rRNA from 1 species